CUGGGCAUGCUUUCAAUAAUUUAAGGAUCUCAUAUGUGUUAAUUCACUUGUGGUUUGCUUUCCAUAUCACAAUGGUCUAAGAAGCGUGUGGAUGUCAGUGCACAGUGAGGUACAUUUUUCUUCUGCCACUCUUUUGUUACCUUGGUUUUGGGUCAUUCUUAUGCUUUGUUACGACUGUGACCGUAAUUGUGUGUGGAUUUGAGUGUCUAGGUGCUCCUCCGGGGUAUGUUACGAUUUGGCGUUGGUAUUGUAUUGUUUUUGUGUGACUGUUAUGUGUUUCCUACUUUAUUUUGAAAGUCUAUGUUAUCUUAGUGUGUUCAGUUUACGUUUCCCUGUCUCGUCAGUUCUGAUUUGUCCCAGCUGUGUUUCCCUCCUGUUGUCCAUUCCCUGAUUGCUCCCUCCAUGUAUUUAAGCCCUGUGUUUCUGUAUGUCAUGGUCGCGAUCUUCUUCCCCCCGUUGUAAAUAGUUUGGCGCCUUGUGUGUGAUGUAAAUAAAUAUUGUGUUUUGCUUUAAAGAAAUUAGUUGUUGAUACUUUCGUUUUGGGAUGAUUUUGGCGGAAACCCGUAUUAGUUUUUUCUCGUGUGUUUUUACCUUAUUUUUAUUUUCCUUAUUUUUGUUUUUCUACGUUGCACCCCGGUUGCCUAGGCCGGGGUGGGGUGUUACGACUGUGACCGUAAUUGUGUGUGGAUUUGAGUGUCUAGGUGCUCCUCCGGGGUAUGUUACGAUUUGGCGUUGGUAUUGUAUUGUUUUUGUGUGACUGUUAUGUGUUUCCUACUUUAUUUUGAAAGUCUAUGUUAUCUUAGUGUGUUCAGUUUACGUUUCCCUGUCUCGUCAGUUCUGAUUUGUCCCAGCUGUGUUUCCCUCCUGUUGUCCAUUCCCUGAUUGCUCCCUCCAUGUAUUUAAGCCCUGUGUUUCUGUAUGUCAUGGUCGCGAUCUUCUUCCCCCCGUUGUAAAUAGUUUGGCGCCUUGUGUGUGAUGUAAAUAAAUAUUGUGUUUUGCUUUAAAGAAAUUAGUUGUUGAUACUUUCGUUUUGGGAUGAUUUUGGCGGAAACCCGUAUUAGUUUUUUCUCGUGUGUUUUUACCUUAUUUUUAUUUUCCUUAUUUUUGUUUUUCUACGUUGCACCCCGGUUGCCUAGGCCGGGGUGUAACAGCUUGAAGACCCAUCUGUGAGUCAUCUUCAGUGUUCUGGCUGAGAGAAGGAGGUUCUUGUUCAGGAUUUUGAACCCUUAAUAGAAAAACAGCUGCAAAGCAUGUUUCCUCCUCCGUGCUUAAGUGUGGGGGUGGUGUGAUUUUGGUUUCAUCUGACCACAGCAGUCUCUGGCAAAUUUAAGAUCAUCCUGUACAUGUUCCUUCUUGAGCAGAGGGACCUUGUGGACCUUGCAUUGUGUGUUAC
ensembl:lncRNA